CUCUCUCGUACGCGGCUGCUCACCGACCCCCGCUGCGCUCUGCGUGACAAACAGCACCGGUAUCCUUUUGUGCCACCUGGCAGGCUGCUGCGCGCACGAAGAAAAGGGGAGAAAAAGGUGCUCGCGAGACCAAGACCACCGCGCUCGGGCAGGGUUUCGCUCUGCGAUCGGGGCUCCUUUUCCCUCAGCCGUGAGACUAUUUCUGAGCAAAAUAAAGGGGCUGUUGAGCCAAAGAAACCCGCGAAGGGAAGCCCGCCGUCGGGGAGUUCCCGUUCCCGAAAGCUUUGGAGCCGCGCGGCCGCGCUUCCCUCGCGCAGAGGCAGCCACCGCACUGCCGCCGGCCAUGUGGGAGAGCCCCGCAGCGGGCGUCUGCCCGACGCGCCUCACAGGAAACAUCCACGGUUUUAUUGCUGAACAGGCUUUUCCAGGAGCCCGGUGCGACUUCCCGGGAAAGCCCCUCGCAAGAGAGGCGCCCGCACCAGCAGCAGGCCGAGGUGACCGGCUUCCGCGGGCCGAGAGCGGGGCCCAGCGCCGCCUCGGCUCCCCCUCCCGCGGCUCUCCGGGGCCCUUGUGGCUGGGGGGUUUUAAGGUCCAAAAUGUUCUUCUCUAGCUUUCUCGCUCAAGCCCAGGAAGCACGAAGGUGCCUCCGUUUUCGAAGCGCUGGCAGCGCCAGGUGCCGAAUUCGGCGGGGAGCCGUGCCGCGAAGGGAGGUUCCCCAGGAAAGGGAGGUUAUCCCCGGGGAUCCGCUGCACCGGCACCCACGUGACUGCGCUGCAAGGGCUUGGCCCAAGCGCAGCACCCGCAGUGCAACGUUUCCGACAGCCGCCUCCUCUCACCAGCCGUUCAAGCAGCUACUUCAUCCAAAAUGCAAGCUCGAACACUUCUUGGAGCACUUAGCUGUUGCAAAAACACAGGAAAUGCAAAGACUACAUAAGGUUUCUCCAUAUCGUUAUCUUCUCCCUGGGAUGUACCAUCCCCCUUGCUCCUCUUUGUUUCUGACUCGAGCAAAGAAACAGGGCAAGGAGGAAUAUGGCAAGCAGUGAGAAAAUAAAGCAGCUAAAAUCAGUGAUUAUUUCAGAACAUCUGUGCAAAAAUGAUGUACCCAAGUUCACACAGGAGCUGCUGGGGCAUGAGCAUGACACACGAGUUUCAGAUUGAUGCUCCAACCCCCACAUCAUCCCUUGUUUGAGUAUUAAACUAAGAAGGAAAUACCUAUUUCUUUUUCUAACAUCUUUUUGCAUAUCAUUUCACUUGGAAAGCAAAACCAAAGUAGAUAGCUGCCUCCUUCUCACAGUUGCUUCCCAGAUACUUUCAGACUGCUGCUCUCAGACACCAGCACCACGCAGCUAUGUCUGAGUUAGUGUUUCAAAAUCAUUACACAGACAAGACAUUUCUACCAGUCCUGAGUUUUCUUCUGUUUUUAUGAAAGCUAAAGCCAGAUCUGACUUGGCAUAAUUCUUAGUAUGUUGUAUUCCCAAUAGCUUGAGUUAACUUUUCAUUUUCAUUACAGAGAUAGUCUCUGGAUUCCUGACAAAAUUUUGAUUAAGCAUGGUGCUUUAAACCUUAACUCCUAAGGAACCAUCUCUAUAUUACAGAGAUGAGCUACUUUCAAAUGGGAUAUAUUUGUGGAUUGGUAAGGAAAAGGCCAGGACAUGCUAUUGUAAAUAAAGUUCGAACAUGUUUUUCAGCUAUAUAUAGCUGUAACAAGUAUUUAUCUUGAAUCAUGCCUUAGAUGUUUAAAUUGAUUUGUUACCAUUACUACUUUUCUUCUCAGCUCUGUUCGUACUUCUCUAACUUGGCUUCCCCAUAUAGUUAUUGGUGACUGAAGGGAAAGGAGGCUGUGUUGGGAGAGGAAAGGAAGGUGACCCUAGAGGUCCUCUAACUGAACUAACAGAACAUCUAACAGUGAACUGCACGUUUGCUGUGUGGAUCUGGGCGGCCAAGUCAUGUUCUGCGUAGUCACUCGUCCGGCAGAGAGUUCCUGUGAGCGGAGGAAAACAAAUUCUGCAAGGCCUGAUUUUGGAAGCAAAGUUUCAAGGUGCUGUAAUCCUUAUAGGUUUGAAGAACUGAGAAGAGACUUCAGAGCAUACCCCAAAAAUCCUACCUGGUUUUCCCCUGUUCCACCUCCAAACCUGCCUUUAUGAGCAGGAACAGGGCUCCAUGGGUAAUGUGCAGGAUUAAUGGCCUUGGCUGUUCAUGUCAUGCCCACUUACUCCUGUCAGCGGUGCCAUUACAACAAGAUCCUUCCUGGGCUCAGGGGGACGGUGGGAUUGUGUGGCAUCCCCGAAGGACUUCAGAGAAUCUGACACACACGCGCAGGAUAAUACAGACUCCACAUCCUCACUGCAGAUGCCUGGAGGCUUAACACCAUUCUUUCCUAUUGGCUAUCUAAAACAAUGUUAGCGAUUAAAUCUCACUUCUCUAA